rnacentral:rRNA from 1 species
UACAGAGGGUGCGAGCGUUAAUCGGAAUUACUGGGCGUAAAGCGCGCGUAGGCGGCUUUGCAAGUCGGGUGUGAAAUCCCCAGGCUUAACCUGGGAACUGCAUUCGAGACUGCAUUGCUAGAGUAUGGGAGAGGGAAGUGGAAUUUCAGGUGUAGCGGUGAAAUGCGUAGAUAUCUGAAGGAACAUCAGUGGCGAAAGCGACUUCCUGGACCAAUACUGACGCUCAUGUGCGAAAGCGUGGGGAGCAAACAGGAUUAGAUACCCCCGUAGUCC